UUUUAUCCGGAUUUAAUUUCCAUUAGAAUCCGACUUUGGUUCAGGUGUAUAUGGCUUACUUUGGUGCCGUAUUUAUGUUUUCUUUCAAUAAUCAUUGUUCUUAGUACCGAUAUCUUUUUGGGAUUUCCUUCUCCUCCCGCUUCUCAAGGUUACUUGGUUUUGAAGGGCUGAAUUUUGUUUUCAAGUCUAAUCUCUGUUUUUUUUUGUUUUAAUCAACUAGUAGAGUCUGUUUCAACCCAAAUCGGUGUUCUCAAUCCUUUGAUUUGAAAUCUCAAUUAGGCAUAUCUGGAAAGAAUUUUAUAUCAAUAGAGAUUUUGAUUUCUCUUUGUAAAGAUCGUUGUUGUUCUUGAAGAAUUUAGAUUAAACUACAACUUGUGAAAGUUUUCAUUUCUAGGUUCUUCUUAGGAUUCGAUCAUUGGUUAGUUUGUUAUAUCUGAAGUGGAGCACCAUUUAUAGUAGAGAUUUUGUAGAGCAAAAUGGCAGAUUCACAGGAGUGAUGAAGCUGUCAUGGAGGAUCGAUGGUUUACUUGAAACGACGGUGGUACUGUUGAGAUACCGAUAACACAAACUUUGGCGUAAGAGAUAAGGAUCACAUAUCCACGUGUCCUUGCUGCUAAUGAGAUGAUGUAUUUGUGCUGAGUUUGUUUUUAGUAUCACGUGUAAUAGUGGUUGGAUUAUAUCAAUAAAGAAAAAUACUUUUAUCG